ensembl:lncRNA
AAAACUAAGUAAGCUGGAAGGUUUGCUUCUCAGUGCGGAAGGAUGAAAGAUGUGUUUUGAAAAUGCCACGUCACUACCGUCCUCCUCCCUCGCGGAUCAGUCCGCAUGUUCACGGUACAUUUUUUAUGGAAUAUGUUGAGCAAACCUGGAGAAGCGUCAGCUCAAGAGAUUAUUGUUGUCAUUGCUGUGGAUUUUUACCUGAUAAACUGACUUGGCUCGGGACCAGCACUCCUGUUGUUGGACAGAAAGACAUCAACUCAGUGACUUGAGAUAUGACUGCACUAUGCUGUUGCUGGUGACUCCAGUUAAUUCUACAAGACUGUAAAUGCUGUUUUCCAGAGAAGCUGGUUAUGUUUCAUAAUCAUUUGGGUCUCAGUCACAGAGGAUUCAUGGAAAACAAGAGAAACACACAGAGCUUCUACACAAAGUCUGUAAGAGUGUAUCCAGAUUCCUGAACCAUGAUGUCAGCAUGUUAUGGAUGGUCGUGGCUUUUUCAGUGCUCCAUGGCUUAUGCUCAUGUGCAUGCUCACCAUUUUUCCUUCAGCUGGAUCCUGUGACAAGAGUUUAUUACUCAAGCUAGGUCAUGCACAUUUAGGCAAAAAUUAUGAGUGACCACAUGUGAUGAAAUCUUGGAUGCAGUACUACUACUACUACUACUACGACUCUAAUAAUAAUAAUCAUUAUAAUAAUUUGGGUUUAGAGCCCUCAUAAAUAUAAAUACUGAAGUACAGGAGAUGACCAUGUGAAUUUAUACUCCGUCAGUAUCAGAACAGAGCAACCAGAAGUUAACUUUGACUUCUGCACGUCAGAACAUACAACAUACGUUAUGCACUACAAUGAGGAAGCUGGUUUAGAGCUGUUACUCCUGAUCUGCAUCAUCAACAGGAGUCAUGCUAUACCACAAAUUUUAAAUUUUGAUCACAGGGUUGUGUAGGAUUAAGGACUUGGACUUGCGUCCUGAUUAACCACAGUUCCAGUCUCAUAUUACUCAGCCUAAUGUGGACAUAAAGUCUCAUCUGCACUGUCUGCUCUGGAGAAACAUGAUUGUAUGAAAUUGAUAUUUGAGGACUGAGAGGAAAGACUUCUCUGAAAGAUAUUUUAAUGGAUCUCUAAAUAAAAUAACAGUGUGAAAUUGGUGUAAAAAGCAUGUUGACGAAUAUAUUUAAAAGUGUUAUUGUUUAAGAUGAAAGACAAAAAGAGGAAAAACCUGUAUUAUUGGUAAACCUGUUCAAAGAAUAUUGCACUGUUACUAGGCUGU